rnacentral:rRNA from 1 species
GACGAACGCUGGCGGCGUGCUUAACACAUGCAAGUCGAGCGGGUAAGGCCCUUUCGGGGGUACACGAGCGGCGAACGGGUGAGUAACACGUGGGUGACCUGCCCUCAGCUCUGGGAUAAGCCUGGGAAACCGGGUCUAAUACUGGAUAUGACUCCAUGACGCAUGUUGUGGGGUGGAAAGCCUUGUGCGGCUGAGGAUGGGCCCGCGGCCUGUCAGCUUGUUGGUGGGGUGANGGCCUACCAAGGCGACGACGGGUAGCCGGCCUGAGAGGGCGACCGGCCACACUGGGACUGAGACACGGCCCAGACUCCUACGGGAGGCAGCAGUGGGGAAUCUUGCGCAAUGGGCGAAAGCCUGACGCAGCGACGCCGCGUGAGGGAUGAC